UUCUCCCUCUUCUCCCUCAGACCUCUCACUCGACGCAGUACUCUCGUAUUCUCCCUCUCGAACCUCUCACUCGAAGCAGAACUCUCCAUCUUCUCCCUCUCCAUUAUCUUGACUCUUCUCUCUCACCCUGACGCCCUCACCCCCUUCAAUCCCAAACCCUAGAAAAAUUCAACAACCUCUCACUCGACGCAGUACUCUCCCUCUCGAACCUCUCACUCGAAGCAGAACUGAUCUCCCUCUUGUUCCUCUCCAUUACCUCAAACUCUUUUCUCUCACCCCUUCUCUCUCACCCUGACGCCUUCACCUCCUUCAAUCCCGAAUCCUAGAAAAAUUCAGCAAAACCUUUGAAGACCCAUCUCCCUCACCCCCUUCAGUAGAAGAAAUCGUCCUCAAAUGUACGUUUUUUUUUUCCAAUUUUUUUUAAAUCUCUACCUUCCAAACGGCUCUUCAAAUAGGCCCUACUAGUCCUAACUUUUCUUCCUAGAGAAGCAUAGUCUUUUGAGAGAGAGAGAGAGAGAGAGGGGGGAGCUUUCUCUUACAUCGCUCUAUCACUACCAAAUCUUCAAGGAAAAACAAGAUUUCAAUUCUUCAUUUGGGCAGAUAUACUUCAAUCAAUACUACCAAAACAAUUUUGACAAGAGAGAAUGACCUUCAGAAGAGGGAGGAUGCUUUAUUGUUGCGUGAGUAUGAAGCUCAACAAAAAAAAAAAAAAAUGAACAAACUAAUAGAGAGAGAAUAAGCUUCACAAACAAGAGGACGAACUUCGAAGAAGGAUAGCAGAGAAUAGGAAUGCACGUAUAUUGUUGUGUCUAUAUUGGAUUGUAUCUCUUGUAAUAGUUUUUGGUCGGUUCUGAAUGUAGAUGCAUCAUGUUAGUUUUAAAUGUAAAUAGACUGAUUGGAUCCUAAUGUGUAUGAUAUAUUCUCUAAGAAUAUAAUUAUGACAGCUUAUUAUGGAUAUUAAGUUCACUUUUCUGCAUUGUAGUUGACAUUAUUUUUGAAGUAAAUUUUGGAGUUGGCAUGAA